rnacentral:rRNA from 1 species
AGAGUUUGAUCCUGGCUCAGGAUGAACGCUAGCGACAGGCUUAACACAUGCAAGUCGAGGGGCAGCAGGGGCGUAGCAAUACGCCUGCUGGCGACCGGCGCACGGGUGAGUAACACGUAUGAAACCUGCCCGUAGCAGGGGGAUAAGCGGAAGAAAUUCCGUCUAAUACCGCGUAAUAACCGUUUGGGGCAUCCCUUAAGGUUUAAAGGAGCGAUCCGGCUACGGAUGGUCAUGCGUCGCAUUAGCUAGUCGGCGGGGUAACGGCCCACCGAGGCGACGAUGCGUAGGGGUUCUGAGAGGAAGGUCCCCCACACUGGUACUGAGACACGGACCAGACUCCUACGGGAGGCAGCAGUGAGGAAUAUUGGUCAAUGGCCGGAAGGCUGAACCAGCCAAGUCGCGUGAGGGAAGACGGCCCUAUGGGUUGUAAACCUCUUUUGUCGGGGAGCAAAGGCCGCCACGCGUGGCGGAUUGAGAGUACCCGAAGAAAAAGCAUCGGCUAACUCCGUGCCAGCAGCCGCGGUAAUACGGAGGAUGCGAGCGUUAUCCGGAUUUAUUGGGUUUAAAGGGUGCGCAGGCGGGAUGUCAAGUCAGCGGUCAAAUCGAGGGGCUCAACCCCUUUCCGCCGUUGAGACUGGCGUCCUAGAGUGGGCGAGAAGUACGCGGAAUGCGUGGUGUAGCGGUGAAAUGCAUAGAUAUCACGCAGAACUCCGAUUGCGAAGGCAGCGUACCGGCGCCCAACUGACGCUCAUGCACGAAAGCGUGGGUAUCGAACAGGAUUAGAUACCCUGGUAGUCCACGCAGUAAACGAUGAAUACUAACUGUCCGGCCCGAUCGGGGGCUGGGCGGUACAGCGAAAGCGUUAAGUAUUCCACCUGGGGAGUACGCCGGCAACGGUGAAACUCAAAGGAAUUGACGGGGGCCCGCACAAGCGGAGGAACAUGUGGUUUAAUUCGAUGAUACGCGAGGAACCUUACCCGGGCUCAAACGACGGAUGAAUGUUUUUGAAAGGAGGCAGCCCUUCGGGGCAUCCGUCGAGGUGCUGCAUGGUUGUCGUCAGCUCGUGCUGUGAGGUGUCGGCUUAAGUGCCAUAACGAGCGCAACCCCCAUCGCCAGUUACCAGCAAGUGAAGUUGGGGACUCUGGCGAGACUGCCGGCGCAAGCUGUGAGGAAGGCGGGGAUGACGUCAAAUCAGCACGGCCCUUACGUCCGGGGCGACACACGUGUUACAAUGGCAGGUACAGAGAGAUGCCACCUGGCGACAGGGAGCAGAACUCGAAAGCCUGUCUCAGUUCGGAUCGGAGUCUGCAACCCGACUCCGUGAAGCUGGAUUCGCUAGUAAUCGCGCAUCAGCCAUGGCGCGGUGAAUACGUUCCCGGGCCUUGCACACACCGCCCGUCA